rnacentral:rRNA from 1 species
UCUGGUGGCAAUAGAGAAGGGGAACUACCUGAUCCCAUACCGAACUCAGAAGUCAAGCCCUUCCUCGCCGAUGGUACUACACGCAAGAGUGUGGAAGAGUAGGGCGCUGCCAGAU